UUUCCGGUUGAUCCUGCCGGAGGGCCACUGCUAUCGAGGUUCGAUUAAGCCAUGCGAGUCGAGAGGUGCAAGACCUCGGCAUACUGCUCAGUAACACGUGGACAACCUACCCUAUGGAGGGGGAUAACCCCGGGAAACUGGGGAUAAUACCCCAUAGACUAUGGAUGCUGGAAUGCCCUGUAGUCGAAAGGUCUGCCGCCAUAGGAUGGGUCUGCGGCCGAUUAGGUUGUUGUUGGGGUAACGGCCCAACAAGCCUGUAAUCGGUACGGGUUGUGGGAGCAAGAGCCCGGAGAUGGAUUCUGAGACACGAAUCCAGGCCCUACGGGGCGCAGCAGGCGCGAAAACUUUACAAUGCGGGAAACCGUGAUAAGGGAACUCCGAGUGCCCGUAAAAUCGGGCUGUCCAUCAGUUUAAAUAACUGGUGAAGAAAGGGCCGGGCAAGACCGGUGCCAGCCGCCGCGGUAAUACCGGCGGCUCGAGUGGUGGCCACUAUUACUGGGCUUAAAGCGUUCGUAGCUGGUUUGUUAAGUCUCUGGGGAAAUCUGCCGGCUUAACCGGCAGGCGUUUCAGGGAUACUGGCAGACUAGGGACCGGGAGAGGUGAGAGGUACUCCAGGGGUAGGAGUGAAAUCCUGUAAUCCUUGGGGGACCACCUGUGGCGAAGGCGUCUCACCAGAACGGCUCCGACAGUGAGGGACGAAAGCUGGGGGAGCAAACCGGAUUAGAUACCCGGGUAGUCCCAGCUGUAAACGAUGCGCGUUAGGUGUAUCGGUGACCACGAGUCACCGAGGUGCCGAAGAGAAAUCGUGAAACGUGCCGCCUGGGAAGUACGGUCGCAAGGCUGAAACUUAAAGGAAUUGGCGGGGGAGCACCACAACAGGUGGAGCCUGCGGUUUAAUUGGAUUCAACGCCGGA
rnacentral:rRNA from 1 species